CACACAUGCCUCACAUAUUAAUGACCGUGGAAAUGAAAUGGCCAUAGAAUAUCUGCUUUACUCCUUCAGAAGUCAUAUGCAUAUGUUACUUCUCCACAAGCCUUGGAUCAUCUUAACUUGUCAAGCAAUGACUGUGUGCCAGCAACAUGUUGUAAACUUGCAAACAUAAGUAAGCAAUUUCUGGUGGCAGGCCUUCUUGGAAUAUAGGUAUUAUUCAAAGCCAUAAGUGAAAGAAAUUUGGAAAUCUACUCUCCAAUUUCACCCCAUCCCUUAAAAAAAUCAAGCAGAAGGUGGAGGGCCUUAGAAGAAAGAACGAAUGGAGUGUUGGGCGACCUGAGUGGCUCAGCAGUUCAGCGCCGCCUUCAGCCCAGGGCCUGAUCCUGGAGACCAGGGAUCGAGUCCCAUGUCGGGCUCCCUGCAUGGAGCCUGCUUCUCCCUCUGCCUGU